ACAACGUGCCUGUGCACAAGAACAAAGAGGCCAUGAAGAGAGUGGUGUCCUGCGGCUUCGAAUGGUUGCUCCAUCCCCCUUAUUCCCCCGAUCUGGCGACCUCUGAUCACACUUAAAGCAGCUAGGGGUAUCAGUGAUGACGAGGAUACCAAAGAGAAGGUCAAGGAAGUUUUGGAGGGAUUCAACUUGCCAUUCUCCAGGGAUGUAUUUUCGCAAUUGGAGAUGAAUUGCAUUACGGUCAAAGGCGAUUACGCUGAUUUAAAAAAAAAAACUUUGGACCCAUACUCAACAAUAUCAUCGGGACCCAGGCGUCGAUUCCGAAUAAAAUCUCCAAUAUGGCGGCUGGACGUGAACAAAUACUAAUAGUUAUUGUCGAAGAAAAUGGUAGAGGCACCAGACAUUAGUAUUUGCGACUCUUGCAACCGAUUAAUGACCACGAAUGGCGAACUUGGUCGUGCACAAUAUGCGGGGGGGGGGGGGGUCUGAGGAAAUUUUCCUAAGUGUGGCCAUUCGGCUAACUGAAUGCUGUAGAACUUUUUAAAAAAUGUAGAAGUUAUGGAAAUUCGUAUAUAGUGAUUCGUUUGCAAUUUAUGACUAAUACUGGUCCUAAAAUUUAAAUCUCGCUAUGUGACGAAGGCAAAUACAUUCGUGAAUUCGGUCUAGAAAACAGGCAAUGGCAAUUGGAAUACUUGGAGUUAUAAAUCAAUAAAUAUUAUAAACAUCCAA